UUUUAAGUUCCCCUGCCCCUUUGUACACCCCCCGCCCGUCGUUAUUACCGGUUGAAUGGCUUCAGUGAGGGCUUCCGGACUGGCCCCAGGGAGGUUCGGCAACGACCACCCAGGGCCGGAAAGUUAUCCAAACUCGGUCAUUUAGAGGGAAGUAAAAGUCGUAACAAGGUCUUCGUKGGKGARMCAGCGGAGGGAUCAUUA
rnacentral:rRNA from 1 species